rnacentral:rRNA from 1 species
CGGACGGGUGAGUAAUGCUUGGGAAUCUGGCUUAUGGAGGGGGGUAACUACGGGAAACUGUAGCUAAUACCGCAUAAUAUCGAAAGAUUAAAGGGUGGGACUUUCGGGCCACCUGCCAUGAGAUGAGCCCAAGUGGGAUUAGGUAGUUGGUUAGGUAAAGGCUGACCAAGCCGACGAUCUCUAGCUGGUCUGAGAGGAUGACCAGCCACACUGGAACUGAGACACGGUCCAG